rnacentral:rRNA from 1 species
CAGCAGCCGCGGGAAUACGUAGGGGGCAAGCGUUAUCCGGAUUUACUGGGUGUAAAGGGAGAGCAGGCGGUGCGGCAAGUCUGAUGUGAAAGCCCGGGGCUCAACCCCGGGACUGCAUUGGAAACUGUCGUACUUGAGUAUCGGAGAGGUAAGUGGAAUUCCUAGUGUAGCGGUGAAAUGCGUAGAUAUUAGGAGGAACACCAGUGGCGAAGGCGGCUUACUGGACGAUAACUGACGCUGAGGCUCGAAAGCGUGGGGAGCAAACAGGAUUAGAUACCCGCGUAGUCCCUGUCUCUUAUAA